CAAAUUACUCUGAUCUCGCCCUCUCUUUCACUCCGUCUCGCGUAGCCUUCCUCCCGACUGCACCCAGUCAGCCUCCUCCUCAUCCUUCCUCCUCACCUUCUCCCGUAGCCUUCCUCCUCGCCUUCCGAACAGCCUCCAAGCCCCAACAGUUCUCCCACGACGACGAGGACUCCGAUUACGAUUGCGUCGAGAUUAAACACGAACUGGAGGACGACGCCACCGAUUGUGUCGUUAUUAAGAACAAAUUGGAGGACGACGAUGCGGACGAGGUUUAAUGGAAAAUAAAUGGUAUUUGCACAUUGCAAUCUGACCAAGUGGAACUGCCGGGGGAAACUAAAAUCUAAAAAGAAACUUUCUUUGUGCCUUUCGUAGUUCUUCCGCCGCUUUCACCCCCUUCGCUCUCUCUCUCUCUUCGAUAGCUUUGAGAGAAGAAGACUAAAAAGGCAUUUUCAGCUUGAAGAAUCUCUCUCUAUCCUUGUGGGAUUGUAUUUCUGCAAAUCUCAGUUAGGUUUAUGGAUAUGAGAUACAAAAUUGGACCGCGGGAAUCAGCUAAGAAAGUCGUCGUAUCUCCUGCAAUCCUUUCGAAGUAUCAGCCGUCGGAUCGAAUAACGCCUUGGUGUGUUCUUCCCAGAUAACACCCAGUUCUCGGAUUUCAUAUUUAUAUAUAAAGGAAUUUUUAUAUUCUAUAUAUGUUCAUUAGGCGGAUGUUAAGGGAUCGAGCUAAGUCUGGUGGUUAGGCUGCCUUUGACCUUAAGCAGCGCCAGAAACAAGGGCUUGAGCCUUAAGUUGACAAGGAUCGUUUCCCACCUAUACCGACCAAUCUAACUUCUCUACAUCCUUGUGCAAACGUACCGAGGAAUAAUGACCUUCUGGGCAGGCCUUUUUCAACUCUACACCUCCCAUCUGUAGAUUGUCCAACUUUGGCAGAGAAUAGGGUUGGGAAAAGGCCUUUAUUAGAUGGCGAUUCCAGUGGGAAACAGUACACUUCCGUGGAAGAUAAUACAUCUUCCAUGAAGAAGAUCAUGUAUUUUACCCUUGGGCUGACGAUUUCUUGAUUGAGGAUAUUAUGGUUGGUAUUGAUAAUGAUAUGGAUAAGGCCUCAAUUUUAUUGAAACAAUGGUUUCCCCUAGCAGCUGUGAAGAGAAUAACCGAACUAGCAUUUCAUAAAAACAACUCCAGUUCAAAUAGACCGCCACAAUUUUUAGAUUAAGUUCCUUGACUAGAAACAACUUUUAUUAAUUUUUAUAGAUUUUAGUUUUGUUGUUAAAUGACUCAUUGACUUGUGUGUUUCUGUUGUAGGAGCUUUGGUCUAUGCUGGGGUUUAUGAGGAUGUAUUGCAAAAACUUCAGAGGUUAACUCGAACAGUAUUCUUAAGGUUCUUCCUGGCAGAUCUCCAACUAUUUUGUUCAGUUUCGUAUGAUUGCAAAUCAUCCUUUACUAGUAAGGCGUAUUUACAGUGAUGAGGAUGUUGUUCGUUUUGCCAGAAAGUUACCUUAGACAAAGUAGUUGGGGAACUUAAGAAUUAUAGUGACUUCUCUAUCCAUCAGCUUUUGCUGUAUUAUGGUGUCUCUGAUAAGAAAUGAUUGCUUCAAGACAAAUAUGCAUUGCUUUCUUCAAAAUCUCAGGCAUUGGCUGAACUUCUUCCUUCACUGAAGCUAGCUGGGCAUUGUGUUCUGAUUUUCAGCUAGUGGACGUCAAUGCUUGAUAUUUUGGAGUGGACUUUGUGUUACAUACAGACGACUUGAUGGAAGCACUCAGGUGACAAAAUGACAGACAAUAAUUGAUACAUUCAAUAAUGACACUUCUAUAUUUGCUUGCUUGCUGUCCACAAGAGAAACUGCAAUUGGAAACCUUUGUAAUUUAGUUUUUGUAUUUUUCAAGUCACACCUUUGACCUCUCAGCCGAUACCUAAUACCUUGAUGUAUCAAACCUAGAAGACUACUUCUUGUAGUUU